AUUGAACGCUGGCGGCAGGCCUAACACAUGCAAGUCGAACGAGUGGCGGACGGGUGAGUAAUGUCUGGGAAACUGCCCGAUGGAGGGGGAUAACUACUGGAAACGGUAGCUAAUACCGCAUACCAUCGAAUGUGCACAGAUGGGAUUAGCUAGUAGGUGGGGGAACGGCUCACCGAGGCGACGAUCCCUAGCUGGUAGGAGAGGAUGACCAGCACAACGGGAAUGGAGAACCGGUCCAGACUCCUACGGUGGGCAGCAGUGGGGAAUAUUGCACAAUGGGCGAAAGCCUGAUGCAGCCAGGCCGGUUGUAGGAAGAAGGCCUUCGGGUUGUAAAGUACUUUCAGCGAGGAGGCGUUACUCGCAGAAGAAGCAUCGGCUAACUCCGUGCCAGCAGCCGCGGUAAUUC
rnacentral:rRNA from 1 species